rnacentral:lncRNA from 10 species
UGCUAGUCCUCCUGCAUAAGGGCUCUCUUGGCAAGAAAUGUUAUUCUUAUCAACCGCUUCAUGAUCUAUUUUUACAUCUCCACGCAACUUAUUAAAUGCUUGUAGGACCUGCUGGGGUAAAGGAAGCCUUCACUUUGAUUGAAUUUCCCUGUUUUCAGCUUAAUAUUGAGGGAAAGACUGAGCUGAGGCAAGAUCAACCAGGAAGAGAGAGACUUCUUUAUGGAACGGUGAGCAUAGAGUGCUCAGAAGUGAAUGGUGAAGAAAGGGCCUGGGGAGGAAUGCACCGGCCUGGCUCCCAGCUCCUUUCGACUUGGUCUCAGAGAAAAAGGCCAUAAGAU